GACCCAGUAGCGGACGGUCCGCGCCCGCCCGUGUAGGGAACGAAAUAAGCAUAGUUGUCCAGCGAGAGUUCCUGGUUCGACUCCAGGCUGGGUCA